UGUUGAAAGAAAAUAAGGUCACUGAGGACCGGCCCAUGGAGUUUCUCCCAGAAGGGGCCAGCAGUGAGGAACAGUGGCUGCAGGGCACUGGGGGAAGGAGAGUGCCCUCCAUGGCCAGAGGAGAUGGAUGGAGCUGCGGCCUGAGGCUCACACGCCCUGGCUGGAGGGAUCGGACAGAGCGGGAGCUGUGGCCAGAAGAGUUGGACUGAGUUGGGCCUGGCUAGCGACUGCAAGAAAUAAAAGCCUUUUUUUCCAACCUA